rnacentral:rRNA from 1 species
GAUCCUGGCUCAGAACGAACGCUGGCGGCAUGCCUAACACAUGCAAGUCGAACGAGACCUUCGGGUCUAGUGGCGCACGGGUGCGUAACGCUGGGAAUCUGCCCUUCGGUUCGGAACAACAGUUAGAAAUGACUGCUAAUACCGGAUAAUGACGUAAGUCCAAAGAUUUAUCGCCGAAGGAUGAGCCCGCGUAAGAUUAGGUAGUUGGUGGGGGUAAUGGCCUACCAAGCCGACGAUCUUUAGCUGGUCUGAGAGGAUGAUCAGCCACACUGGGACUGAGACACGGCCCAGACUCCUACGGGAGGCAGCAGUGGGGAAUAUUGGACAGUGGGCGAAAGCCUGAUCCAGCAAUGCCGCGUGAGUGAUGAAGGCCUUAGGGUUGUAAAGCUCUUUUACCAGGGAUGAUAAUGACAGUACCUGGAGAAUAAGCUCCGGCUAACUCCGUG